CCCACAUACACAUAAUUUAAAAUUAGAAAAGAAAUCUUGGGGGGUAUCAAUACCCAUCACCCACCUACACUAGGACAGACACCAUUUUUGCUCCCUGGAUGCAGGGCCAUUUGUCAGUCCCACACCUAGCUGCACCAGAAGUGCCUACACCUAACCUAGCGCACAGCAGGUGACCAGUUAACAGUGGCGGCAGAGAGUGCAAUGAUACUGAGGGAGAGUAGGGAGCUAUCUCAGGCCAGGGCUGGAAGGCUGGCUUCUGGAGGCAGCAGAACCUAGAGGCUGCUGGGAGGACCAGCACCAUGGACUUCCAUUGAGUCUAUUGAUCUCGCCCAUCUGGAGCACUGCCCCAGGCUAGGGCUAAUUCAGUGGCUUCAAUGGAGGGAGGGCUGUGCCUGCCAGAGUGCCCAGCGACUUCUGAGCCUGGGGCCAGCUCACUGCUUCCACCUCCACAACCCAUCCCUCACUCCUGAAGCACCCCCUUUCUCUGUCCAAGACCUCUCAGGAAGUGGGGGAGCCUGGCCAGGGCUCUGCUCUACCUUCUAUCCAGCUUCGGUCCAGCCUCCUGCUUCAGAACGCUCCAGAUUAAGCUCAGCAUAGGAAGACAAGAGCUCAGCCUUCCUCGGUGUGUGUCCAUAAUCUGUCAGUGUCCCCUUCAGCUCUGUCCCUGAAAGGACCACUCUGGGCCAUCCAAAUCUCAGGAUUCUUUAUAGAAAUGGCACAGCGGCUGGGAAGAUGGCACAGCGGGUUGGAUCACAGGUGUGAAUGACCAAUCCAGGCACAUGUAUGUACAGGUAGGCCAGGACUUUCCCAGAGUAGUUCUCUUUCCACCUUGUUUUGGAGGUAGGGUCUCAGUACUCUUGCCCUUGUGCUAUGGAUAAAGCAUCCAUCUGAUUCCCGUUUCCAACUCCAAUCUCACUGUGGGACUGCUGGGGCUCUGGGCACCUCAUGUGGCUUUUUAAGUGUACGCUGGGGACCAAACUGCAGUCAGGGCCACUUGGCAAAUGUUACCCAUGAGUCAUCUUUCCAGGUCACAGGUUUUAAACAGGGUGCUCAUGUCUCUGCUUCCAAACUCCUUACGUUGGGAAAGUUCUGAUUCACCCAGCUGGAGCUGUGAGGCCCGUCUAGUGAUGUCAGAACAAUCAAACCCCACUAGCCAUCUUCUCAUCCCGGCACAUUGGCUGUGGACUAGCCAGGAACUGUGCUGCCUGGAUUCAAAGCCAACGUCUCCAUUUUUACUGUCUGCACAACUUGGUGCCUCAGACACCUGUCUGCCUCCUGCUCCCUUUGCUUCUAGGGCAGGACUGCUGUAAGGUUGCUUUGGGGCAGAAUAUUGUCACGGCGCCAGAGUAAGUCAGAAGACCAUCUCCUUUGCCCCGCUCCUAGAUGUUCUUGCUUAUGUUUUUCUCCUAAAUCUCCACUUCAGCUCUAUACUGAUCCUUCUGACCUACAGACAU